UGUGGCAAGCAUUCAUGGGCACAUGGUGGAUGCCUUGGCAUCGAGAGCCGAUGAAGGACGUUGGAGCCUGCGAUAAGCCCUGGGGAGCUGGCAACCGAGCUGUGAUCCGGGGGUGUCCGAAUGGGGAAACCCAGCCGCAGUCAUGUGCGGUUACCCUCACCUGAAUAAAAUAGGGUGUUGGGAGGGAACGCGGGGAAGUGAAACAUCUCAGUACCCGUAGGAAGAGAAAACAACAGUGAUUCCGAGAGUAGUGGCGAGCGAAAUCGGAUCAGGCUAAACCAUGGUCGUGUGAUACCCGGCAGGGGUUGCGGUCAUGGGGUUGUGGGAGCGUUCGUGGUUCAUCUGCCGGUGGACUGCACGCGUGUGUGUGUGAAGGUGAAGUCCGUGAAAGCGGUGCCGUAGACGGUGAUAGCCCGGUAGCUGUAAGUGCGCAUAGUGUGGAGCGUUUUCCCAAGUAGCACGCCACCCCUGAAAUGGUGUGCGAAUCUGGCGGGACCACCCGUUAAGCCUAAAUACUUCUCGAUGACCGAUAGCGGACCAGUACCGUGAGGGAAAGGUGAAAAGUACCCCUGGCGGGGAGUGAAAUAGUACCUGAAACCGUGUGCCUUCAAUCCGUCAGAGCCCGGCUGCUCUUUGAGUGUUGGGGUGAUGGCGUGCCUUUUGAAGAAUGAGCCUGCGAGUUUGCGUUACGUGGCGAGGUUAACCCGUGUGGGGAAGCCGUAGCGAAAGCGAGUCCGAAGAGGGCGUUUGAGUCGCGUGAUCAAGACCCGAAGCGAAGUGAUCUAUCCAUGGGCAGGUUGAAGCGCGGGUAAGACCGCGUGGAGGACCGAACCCACUUAGGUUGAAAACUGAGGGGAUGACCUGUGGAUAGGGGUGAAAGGCCAAUCAAACUUCGUGAUAGCUGGUUCUCCCCGAAAUGCAUUUAGGUGCAGCGUUGUGUGUUUCUUGCCGGAGGUAGAGCACUGGAUAGCCGAUGGGCCCGACCAGGUUACUGACGUUAGCCAAACUCCGAAUGCCGGUAAGUGAGAGCGCAGCAGUGAGACUGCGGGGGAUAAGCUCCGUAGUCGAGAGGGAAACAGCCCAGACCAUCAGCUAAGGCCCCUAAGUGGUGACUAAGUGGAAAAGGAUGUGGAGUUGCUCGGACAACCAGGAGGUUGGCUUGGAAGCAGCCACCCUUGAAAGAGUGCGUAAUAGCUCACUGGUCAAGUGAUUCCGCGCCGACAAUGUAGCGGGGCUCAAGUCAUCCGCCGAAGCUAUGGCAGUCGCACAUCAACUCCUAACGGGGGUGUGGCUGGGUAGGGGAGCGGCGUGUCGUGGGUGAAGUCACCGAGUGAUCGAGUGGUGGAUACGACACGAGUGAGAAUGCAGGCAUGAGUAGCGAAUCACGGGUGAGAAACCCGUGCGCCGAUUGAUCAAGGGUUCCAGGGUCAAGCUAAUCUGCCCUGGGUAAGUCGGGACCUAAGGCGAGGCCGACAGGCGUAGUCGAUGGACAACGGGUUGAUAUUCCCGUACCGGCAACGUAGCGCCCAUGAUGAGCCCGGUGAUGCUAACCAUCCGAAGCCCACGUGAUUGAUCCCUUCGGGGUGAGACGUGUGGGUGGAGCGUGGGACCCGAUCCGGUAGUAGUCAAGCGAUGGGGUGACGCAGGAAGGUAGCCCAACCACGCCGAUGGUUGUGCGUGGGUAAGCGUGUAGGACGGGGUGUAGGCAAAUCCGUGCCCCUUGCUUUGAUGCUGAGUCUGAGACGUGAUGCCGACCCCUGAUGGGGGAAGUGGGUGAUCCUAUGCUGUCGAGAAAAACCUCUAGCGAGCUAUGCGCCGCCCGUACCCGAAACCGACUCAGGUGAUCAGGUAGAGAAUACCGAGGCGAUCGAGAGAACCAUGGUUAAGGAACUCGGCAAAAUGCCCCCGUAACUUCGGGAGAAGGGGGACCUGAUCCGUGAACCACCUUGCGUGGGGAAGCGGUGAUGGUCGCAGAGACCAGGCCCAAGCGACUGUUUACUAAAAACACAGGUCCGUGCGAAGUCGUAAGACGAUGUAUACGGACUGACUCCUGCCCGGUGCUGGAAGGUUAAGAGGACCUGUUAGACCACUUCGGUGGUUGAAGCGGAGAAUUUAAGCCCCAGUAAACGGCGGUGGUAACUAUAACCAUCCUAAGGUAGCGAAAUUCCUUGUCGGGUAAGUUCCGACCUGCACGAAUGGAGUAACGACUUGGGCGCUGUCUCAACCAUGGACUCGGCGAAAUUGCACUACGAGUAAAGAUGCUCGUUACGCGCGGCAGGACGGAAAGACCCCGGGACCUUUACUAUAGUUUGGUAUUGGUGUUUGGUUCGGCUUGUGUAGGAUAGGUGGGAGACUGUGAAGCAUUCACGCCAGUGGGUGUGGAGUCGACGUUGAAAUACCACUCUGGUCGUACUAGAUGUCUAACCUCGGACCGUGAUCCGGUUCAGGGACAGUGCCUGAUGGGUAGUUUAACUGGGGCGGUUGCCUCCUAAAAUGUAACGGAGGCGCUCAAAGGUUCCCUCAGCCUGGUUGGCAAUCAGGUGGCGAGUGUAAGUGCACAAGGGAGCUUGACUGUGAGACGGACAUGUCGAGCAGGGACGAAAGUCGGAACUAGUGAUCCGGCCACGGCAUGUGGAAGCGUGGUCGCUCAACGGAUAAAAGGUACCCCGGGGAUAACAGGCUGAUCUUCCCCAAGAGUCCAUAUCGACGGGAUGGUUUGGCACCUCGAUGUCGGCUCGUCGCAUCCUGGGGCUGGAGUAGGUCCCAAGGGUUGGGCUGUUCGCCCAUUAAAGCGGCACGCGAGCUGGGUUUAGAACGUCGUGAGACAGUUCGGUCCCUAUCCGCCGCGCGCGUUGGAAACUUGAGAAAGGCUGUCCCUAGUACGAGAGGACCGGGAUGGACGAACCUCUGGUGUGCCAGUUGUCCCGCCAGGGGCAUGGCUGGUUGGCUACGUUCGGAAGUGAUAACCGCUGAAUGCAUCUAAGCGGGAAGCACGUUUCAAGAUGAGGUUUCCCACCCGCUUUGCGGGGUAAGGCCUCCCACAGAUGAUGGGGUUGAUAGGCCGGAGGUGUACAGCAGUAAUGCCCAGCCGACCGGUACUAAUAGGCCGAGGGCUUGCUACA
rnacentral:rRNA from 1 species